AGAGAUAUGCAAACCGUUUCAGUGUAUUAACUAGGGGACGUAUGGACAGAAAUAUAAAGCUGAACAAAGUUUUGUGAAUGUAGCUGGAAAUCUAGAGAACGUGUUACAUUAGAACAGAACAUUUUUGGGAGCUUCCCAAGAACUUCAUAUUUAGUGUAUGUUUCCCUUACUGGACGCACCCAGUCAAUGAGUGACUUCAGCUGGAUUCAAUGAGGGGAAACAUCCAAGAUGUGCAGCAGCUCUGGGGUUUUGGUUUUAGGUCAAGGAUUUUUAAAGGGAAAAUAUUGUACAGGGACUAGCCUACAUGAUAAAGUAACACAAUAGCACAGGCUACUAUCAAACCCACCUCUCGCAGACCGCCCGAUCUGUCCGAGUUUGGGGGCUCGCUGCAUUCUUCGUGGGGCGGACAGGAGGUCUGGUCUGGUUCUCCCCGCCUGUCCGUGCUCGUACGGGAUUACCGGACUGGGCUGUAACACACCUGCCGGUGGUAUGAGAUCGGGCAUUUCUGCCAUGCCGUACAUGUCCUCCUGCUGCUGUACUUCGUCUGUUCACAGAUGGGAUCUUGGAGACCAGUUUCUGCUUGUGGCUGCAAAAUUUAUCCUAAUGGGAGUACAAAGUGUGCAAAGAGACACAUUUCUAAAACCAGCUACAAGUACAAAGCAAUUGUCAAGUGUAUUUGCAGAAACCACAUAAAAGAUUUAAAUGAAGACUACUGGAAACCGUUUGAAAGGAUGUGCAGUUCAGAAUUAAAGCCUUUUUCUAUCCCCUUGUGAUCUGAUGGAAUUGUGCAGCUUUUUAUAGAGCUUUAAUAUGAUUUAUCAUAUCUAUAGCCAACAUGCAUGUUUAAAGUCACGUUGAUUAAUUCACUUUAAUAUAAUAUAACCAUGGAAAUGAUUUGAUUUCAACAAUGUUAUAAUUGUGAUCCUUUUGAUUGUAUCAAAUAAGCAACACAAUAAAAGUAUUUAAA